AUUGAACGCUAGCGGGAUGCCUUACACAUGCAAGUCGAACGGAGUGGCGAACGGGUGAGUAAUGUAUUGGAACGUGCCCAGUAGCGGGGGAUAACUACACGAAAGCGUAGCUAAUACCGCAUACUUUUGCAUCGGCAGAUAUGGGAUUAGCUAGUUGGUGGGGUAAGGGCUCACCACGGCGACGAUCCGUAGCUGGUUUGAGAGGACGACCAGCCCCACUGGGACUGAGACACGGCCCAGACUCCUACGGGAGGCAGCAGUGGGGAAUUUUGGACAAUGGGGGAAACCCUGAUGCAGCCAUCCCGCGUGUGCGAUGAAGGCCUUCGGGUUGUAAAGCACUUUUAGCAGGGAAGCGGUACCUGCAGAAGAAGCACCGGCUAACUACGUGCCAGCAGCCGCGGUAAUUC
rnacentral:rRNA from 1 species